rnacentral:rRNA from 1 species
GGUAGCCUACGGGAGGCAGCAGUAGGGAAUAUUGCUCAAUGGGGGAAACCCUGAAGCAGCAACGCCGCGUGGAGGAUGAAGGUUUUCGGAUUGUAAAAUCCUUUUGUUAGAGAAGAUAAUGACGGUAUCUAACGAAUAAGCACCGGCUAACUCCGUGCCAGCAGCCGCGGUAAUACGGAGGGUGCAAGCGUUACUCGGAAUCACUGGGCGUAAAGAGCGCGUAGGCGGGAUAGCAAGUCAGAUGUGAAAUCCUAUGACUUAACCAUAGAACUGCAUUUGUAACUGUUAUUCUAGAGUAUGGGAGG